rnacentral:rRNA from 1 species
UGCAGUCGAGCGGCAGCACAAGGGAGUUUACUCCUGAGGUGGCGAGCGGCGGACGGGUGAGUAAUGCCUAGGGAUCUGCCCAGUCGAGGGGGAUAACAGNUGGAAACGACUGCUAAUACCGCAUACGCCCUACGGGGGAAAGGAGGGGACCUUCNGGCCUUCCGCGAUUGGAUGAACCUAGGUGGGAUUAGCUAGAUGGUGANGUAAUGGCUCAGC